rnacentral:rRNA from 1 species
GACGAACGCUGGCGGCGUGCUUAACACAUGCAAGUCGAACGGAAAGGCCCUGCUUUUGUGGGGUGCUCGAGUGGCGAACGGGUGAGUAACACGUGAGUAACCUGCCCUUGACCUUGGGAUAACUUCAGGAAACUGGGGCUAAUACCGGCUAGGAGCUCCUGCUGCAUGGUGGGGGUUGGAAAGUUUCGGCGGUUGGGGAUGGACUCGCGGCUUAUCAGCUUGUUGGUGGGGUAGUGGCUUACCAAGGCUUUGACGGGUAGCCGGCCUGAGAGGGUGACCGGCCACAUUGGGACUGAGAUACGGCCCAGACUACUACGGGAGGCAGCGGUGGAGAAUAUUGCACAAUGGGCGGGAGCCUGAUGCAGCAACGCCGCGUGCGGGAUGACGGCCUUCGGGUUGUAAACCGCUUUCGCCUGUGACGAAGCGUGAGUGACGGUAAUGGGUAAAGAAGCACCGGCUAACUACGUG